AAAGAUUAACAUAUUUAGGCUUCUAACCUAAAAUUAAUGAAUUUUCAUUUAAUCUUUA
rnacentral:tRNA from 1 species